GAUGAACGCUAGCUACAGGCUUAACACAUGCAAGUCGAGGGGAAACGAUAUUGGAAGCUUGCUUCCGAUAGGCGUCGACCGGCGCACGGGUGAGUAACGCGUAUCCAACCUGCCCAUCACUUGGGGAUAACCUUGCGAAAGUAAGACUAAUACCCAAUGAUAUCUCUGGAAGACAUCUGAGAGGGAUUAAAGAUUUAUCGGUGAUGGAUGGGGAUGCGUCUGAUUAGCUUGUUGGCGGGGUAACGGCCCACCAAGGCGACGAUCAGUAGGGGUUCUGAGAGGAAGGUCCCCCACAUUGGAACUGAGACACGGUCCAAACUCCUACGGGAGGCAGCAGUGAGGAAUAUUGGUCAAUGGACGAGAGUCUGAACCAGCCAAGUAGCGUGCAGGAUGACGGCCCUAUGGGUUGUAAACUGCUUUUAUAAGGGAAUAAAGUGAGCCUCGUGAGGCUUUUUGCAUGUACCUUAUGAAUAAGGACCGGCUAAUUCCGUGCCAGCCGCCGCCGUAA
rnacentral:rRNA from 1 species